CUCUAUAAUGAGGCGCGUUCCGAACUUAAAGGGAAGAACAGAAGAAAGCAUCAGUACGGUAGCAAAGGAUCCCUAUUUCCUCGACAUCUUACCUGAUUUGCAAAUGGAGACACUAGAAGGGCAGAUGAUCAUUUGAUUCUCUCUCAAGUAUCAGGAAUCCUAGCCCCACCUUGACAAAAAUCAAAUGGCAGUCAGCCCAAGAUGGAACUUUCUAAGGAGUGCCUGCCAUGUGGACCACUCAGGAGGCUACAGAGGACCCUCAGGGAGCUGUCAUGGAAUAAUAAUACUUCAAGGUGCUUAAUGAUUAAAUGAGUUAUCAUUUGGGCUUCCCUGGUGGCGCAGUGGUUGAGAACCUGCCAGCCAACGCAGGGGACAUGGGUUCGAGCCCUGGUCUGGGAAGAUCCCACAUGCCGCAGAGCAACUGGGCUUGUGAGCCACAACUACUGAGC